UGCAGUCGACGAUGAGCCCAGCUUGCUGGGUGGAUUAGUGGCGAACGGGUGAGUAACACGUGAGUAACCUGCCCCCGACUCUGGGAUAAGCCCGGGAAACUGGGUCUAAUACCGGAUAUGACCUCGCACCGCAUGGUGCGGGGUGGAAAGAUUUAUCGGUGGGGGAUGGACUCGCGGCCUAUCAGCUUGUUGGUGAGGUAAUGGCUCACCAAGGCGACGACGGGUAGCCGGCCUGAGAGGGUGACCGGCCACACUGGGACUGAGACACGGCCCAGACUCCUACGGGAGGCAGCAGUGGGGAAUAUUGCACAAUGGGCGAAAGCCUGAUGC
rnacentral:rRNA from 2 species